rnacentral:rRNA from 1 species
GAUCAUUAAAGAGAUCAUGCCCUCACGGGUAGACCUCCCACCCUCUGUGUAUCAUACUCUGUUGCUUUGGCGAGCCUGUCCGGCUCCGGCAGGACUCCCGGCCUCGGCUGGUCCGCGCUCGCCAAGGGACCCGAAACUCUGAAUUAGAAUGCCGUCUGAGUACUAUAUAAUAGUUAAAACUUUCAACAACGGAUCUCUUGGUUCUGGCAUCGAUGAAGAACGCAGCGAAAUGCGAUAAGUAAUGUGAAUUGCAGAAUUCAGUGAAUCAUCGAAUCUUUGAACGCACAUUGCGCCCCCUGGUAUUCCGGGGGGCAUGCCUGUUCGAGCGUCAUUACAACCCUCAAGCCCAGCUUGGUAUUGGACCUCCGCCUCCCCGGCGGGUCCUAAAGGCAGUGGCGGUGUCCUCCGACUCCAAGCGUAGUAACUUCUCUCGCUCUGGGGCCUCGGGCGACCACCGGCCAUCGAACCCCCCAUCUUUUAUAGGUUGACCUCGGAUCAGGUAGGGAUACCCGCUGAACUUAAGCAUAUCAUA